rnacentral:rRNA from 1 species
GAUGAACGCUGGCGGCGUGCCUAAUACAUGCAAGUCGAGCGAACAGACGAGGAGCUUGCUCCUUCGACGUUAGCGGCGGACGGGUGAGUAACACGUAGGUAACCUACCUAUAAGACUGGGAUAACUUCGGGAAACCGGAGCUAAUACCGGAUAAUAUUUCGAACCGCAUGGUUCGAUAGUGAAAGAUGGCUUUGCUAUCACUUAUAGAUGGACCUGCGCCGUAUUAGCUAGUUGGUAAGGUAACGGCUUACCAAGGCAACGAUACGUAGCCGACCUGAGAGGGUGAUCGGCCACACUGGAACUGAGACACGGUCCAGACUCCUACGGGAGGCAGCAGUAGGGAAUCUUCCGCAAUGGGCGAAAGCCUGACGGAGCAACGCCGCGUGAGUGAUGAAGGUCUGCGGAUCGUAAAACGCUGUUAUUAGGGAAGAACAAACGUGUAAGUAACUGUGCACGUCUUGACGGUACCUAAUCAGAAAGCCACGGCUAACUACGU